GACCUGGUGGUGAAGUGCAUCACACCCACUUCUUAUGUCAUGCAAUUUUGUGUCAGUGUGAGUUCCCGGUUUGACUCUGGGCCAGGUCU